AUCGGGCAACCGCAGUUACUAUAAAAUCGAUAACUCUCGAAACGUUGAUUCGAUACAUGGCUGCCACCGCGAUUGGAGUUGAUGAAUUGUUGACAAUGUACUGAAGAUUUAUUUUGAGUAUUAAAGUAUUCUAACUGGAAGAUUUAUAUACAUUAACUGGAGCGUCAUUUUUUCAAUAAAAUGAGUGACGGGCGGAAUCGAUUGAGCGGUUCUGAAUAUCGCAAGCAAGCUGCGAAGAGAAAAAUCAAAGAUGACGAGGUUAUGGCAAAAACAAAAAAACUCUCUUCUUAUUUUGUGCUUCAAGGAAAUCAAAGUGACACGGAAUCUACGAAACAAAUAUAGUCAAACAUAUCCGACAACUUCAAUUUCACAUUCAGUGACGACCCUGCGGAAUGGCUCAUAAAUGACGCAUUACGUGAUUAUAUCGCUAAACAUAAUUAUAAAAGAAAUGACCAUCUUGAUUUUUCGCAGCCAAAAUUCAAGCCGGUAUUUGAAUUCAUCUACGUUCGAAAGAAGACUUUUAAAUGGUGAAAAAACUCCCCGUGAUUGGUUAGUAUAUUCUCUGAGCAAAGGAUCGAUAUGUUGUGCUCCAUGCCUUCUUUUUGGCGGCGAUUCUACUUUUUCUAAAAAAGAUGGCUAUAGUGAUUGGAAAAAUGCGGCAAUAAGAAUAAAUCAGCAUGAAAAUUCUGAAAAGCAUCAAAGUUGCUUGAAACUUCUAAAAAGAUAGAGCCAGUGCUUUUGGUCGAAUCGACAAAACUUUGCUCGCUGAAUAUGACAAAGAAGUAGUUUACUGGAAAAAUGUUUUAAAACGAGUCGUCGCUGUCAUUAAGAGUUUAGCUUCACGUGGACUGCCUUUUAGAAGGCAUGAUGAAAAGUUGGUUCUCUUCACAACGGAAACUAUUUGAUGCUUUUUGAAUUGAUAUCUGAAUUUGAUCCAUUUUUAGCUGAGCAUAUUUCGAAAUUCGGAAAUAAAGGUAUCGGUAGUACCAGUUAUCUGUCAAAAACGA
rnacentral:lncRNA from 1 species